GUGCUAAUACCGCAUGAUGCAGUUGGGUCGCAUGGCUCUGACUGCCAAAGAUUUUAUCGCUCUGAGAUGGCCUCGCGUCUGAUUAGCUAGUUGGUGGGGCAACGGCCCACCAAGGCGACGAUCAGUAGCCGGACUGAGAGGUUGACCGGCCACAUUGGGACUGAGACACGGCCCAGACUCCUACGGGAGGCAGCAUG
rnacentral:rRNA from 1 species